rnacentral:rRNA from 1 species
UAUAGYAAGCAGAGGAACUUCAUCAAACUCGGAUUUUGUAAGUAGUUGCGAAUGAAAGCAAACCCAAUCAUGUUGAAAAUCUGUGCACCAUCACAUGCAAUGAGUUGUUUACUAAUGGCAUUAUGCUAUCAAAGCUGCRUGCAAAAGUUUUUUGAAAGAAUACAACAUGGGAUGUGAUGUUCAUGUGUGUAUGUUUGUUUUGUGUACAGUUUGUSCUCAAUGAUUCACAUUUCUUGCAAGUGAAAUGCAAAUWGCAUGGURAAGUUCAUGUGACAUGAUACAUGCUUGAGAUUCAUGAUGUGCAAGUACCAUGAGGGAAAUGUGAAAAGGACUUUGGAAAGAGAAUUAAACAAAGCCUGCAAUUGCUGAACAUGAAAGCAAGUGUAGAUGUUUGGAAAUGUUUCUGCAACGCAUGACAUCCAUACCUGUUAUAGUUGCAACACAUUUUUGCUUGMUUUACUAAGUGCAUGUAACAACCACAGUCUACCUGUUCUUCUUUGAUUCAGUUGUACUGGGGUGUGUGUGCACUUGUGUUAGAGAAUGCAUGCAUUUCACUGUGUGUCAUUCAGUGGCUCAUGUAUAUUGUAUACAUGUGUUUAUUGAUGCUAUGCUAUGACCUGCAACAUGUMUGUGAUUAUCUUCACUUGACCCGUCUUGAAACACGGACCAAGGAGUCUGGCAAGUGUGCAMACUGACUUUGUGUAUAGACUUGUAUGUAAUGAAAAUGUUUGUUGUUUGMUGUCACUACCAAUCAAUUGUCAGAUUGUUGAUUAYUUGAAUGUGAGCAUUGUUGCUAGGACCCGAAAGAUGGUGAACUAUGCUUGCAUAACAUGAAUUCAGAGGAAACUCUGAUGGAAGUKUGUAUCGGUACUGACGUGCAAAUCGUUCGUCACAAUUGGGUAUAGGGGCGAAAGACUAAUCGAACCAUCUAGUAGU